UCUUGAUUUCCAAGAAACUGCAUGAGAUUUCGUUUAGAAGCCCUUGAAAACAAAGUUUGUAUUUUGUCAAGAAAAGUUUGUUUAGAGCCAGCAACACAAUUUCCAACCCAUUCACCACCCUCCACCAACAUUCUGAGGGCAAAUAGGAAUCCAGGAUGUGCAAAAUUUAGGAACUUUUCUCCAAAAGAGAAAAGUUUUCUCCAAAAGAGACAAAAUAUAUAUAAGCAUCAGAUUCCACAGUUACUAACUGAGCACCUACUAUGUGCUUGACACUGUGCAGAGUACUUUGCUUUGCUCCACGAUUCCCACAAUGCUCAUUACUCCACGGGACAGGGGUAUGGUUAUCAGUUCUGCAGAUGGUGAGACUGAGGCCUACAGACUCACAAAAGGCCACACAAUGAGAGCAGAGCCAGCCUCUGUCUUCCAGUCCUUUAACUUUGGUCAUUUUUCCUGUCCUCUGCCCUGCCUCAACAGAAUAACCCAAAUAGUUACCUGUAAUGGAAAUUAGAACCAUUGUAACAAGUAUUCACAAGUAUUUAGCUUAAGGGAAGAAAUGUUAAAAUGUCUCUCCCUGUGGGUUACUGAGUGUGACACCCCCUGACCUCACCCACCCUCUACAAGUGGGGGCCAGGAGCCCUGUUGUGUGUUGUUGUUGUUUGUCUUCCCAACUUUGGAGUGAAUAAGUAUGCAGAUAAACCCUGUGACAAAUAUCAGGUAAAUCUGAAGUGGCUGUGUGUGUUGACAUUUCAUUUUUAUUAUGUUUUCAAUAUCUGCGAAAAUUUUCAAUAAAUAAAUUUUUCUUAUGACACCUUCAAAUUGAAUUAUAUUUUAAGAAUAUCUACUUCGCUGUGCUGGCACUGG
rnacentral:lncRNA from 10 species